rnacentral:rRNA from 1 species
AGGUAAGCUACUAAGAGCGAAUGGUGGAUGCCUUGACUGGUAAAGGCGAUGAAGGACGUACUAGACUGCGAUAAGCUACGGGGAGCUGUCAAGAAGCUUUGAUCCGUAGAUUUCCGAAUGGGGCAACCCAAUGUAUAGAGAUAUACAUUACCUAUAUAGGAGCGAACGAGGGGAAUUGAAACAUCUUAGUACCCUCAGGAAAAGAAAUCAAUAGAGAUUGCGUCAGUAGCGGCGAGCGAAAGCGCAAGAGGGCAAACCCAGUGCUUGCACUGGGGGUUGUAGGACUGCAAUGUGCAAGAGGUAAGUUUAGCAGAACAUUCUGGAAAGUAUAACCAUAGAGGGUGAUAGUCCCGUAUGCGAAAAACAAACCUUAGCUAGCAGUAUCCUGAGUAGGGCGGGACACGAGGAAUCCUGUCUGAAUCCGGGUCGACCACGAUCCAACCCUAAAUACUAAUACCAGAUCGAUAGUGCACAAGUACCGUGAGGGAAAGGUGAAAAGAACUGAGGUGAUCAGAGUGAAAUAGAACCUGAAACCAUUUGCUUACAAUCAUUCAGAGCCCUAUGUAGCAAUACAGGGUGAUGGACUGCCUUUUGCAUAAUGAGCCUGCGAGUUGUGGUGUCUGGCAAGGUUAAGCAAACGCGAAGCCGUAGCGAAAGCGAGUCUGAAUAGGGCGCUUAGUCAGAUGCUGCAGACCCGAAACGAAGUGAUCUAUCCAUGAGCAAGUUGAAGCUAGUGUAAGAACUAGUGGAGGACUGAACCCAUAGGCGUUGAAAAGCCCCGGGAUGACUUGUGGAUAGGGGUGAAAGGCCAAUCAAACUUCGUGAUAGCUGGUUCUCUCCGAAAUAUAUUUAGGUAUAGCGUUGUGUCGUAAUAUAAGGGGGUAGAGCACUGAAUGGGCUAGGGCAUACACCAAUGUACCAAACCCUAUCAAACUCCGAAUACCUUAUAUGUAAUCACAGCAGUCAGGCGGCGAGUGAUAAAAUCCGUCGUCAAGAGGGAAACAACCCAGACUACCAGCUAAGGUCCCUAAAUCUUACUUAAGUGGAAAACGAUGUGAAGUUACUUAAACAACCAGGAGGUUGGCUUAGAAGCAGCCAUCCUUUAAAGAAAGCGUAAUAGCUCACUGGUCUAGUGAUUUUGCGCGGAAAAUAUAACGGGGCUAAAGUAAGUACCGAAGCUGUAGACUUAGUUUACUAAGUGGUAGGAGAGCGUUCUAUUUGCGUCGAAGGUAUACCGGUAAGGAGUGCUGGAGCGAAUAGAAGUGAGCAUGCAGGCAUGAGUAGCGAUAAUUAAUGUGAGAAUCAUUAACGCCGUAAACCCAAGGUUUCCUACGCGAUGCUCGUCAUCGUAGGGUUAGUCGGGUCCUAAGUCGAGUCCGAAAGGGGUAGACGAUGGCAAAUUGGUUAAUAUUCCAAUACCAACAUUAGUGUGCGAUGGAAGGACGCUUAGGGCUAAGGGGGCUAGCGGAUGGAAGUGCUAGUCUAAGGUCGUAGGAGGUUAUACAGGCAAAUCCGUAUAACAAUACUCCGAGAACUGAAAGGCUUUUUGAAGUCUUCGGAUGGAUAGAAGAACCCCUGAUGCCGUCGAGCCAAGAAAAGUUUCUAAGUUUAGCUAAUGUUGCCCGUACCGUAAACCGACACAGGUGGGUGGGAUGAGUAUUCUAAGGCGCGUGGAAGAACUCUCUUUAAGGAACUCUGCAAAAUAGCACCGUAUCUUCGGUAUAAGGUGUGGUUAGCUUUGUAUUAGGAUUUACUCCGAAAGCAAGGAAACUUACAACAAAGAGUCCCUCCCGACUGUUUACCAAAAACACAGCACUCUGCUAACUCGUAAGAGGAUGUAUAGGGUGUGACGCCUGCCCGGUGCUCGAAGGUUAAUUGAUGGGGUUAGCAUUAGCGAAGCUCUUGAUCGAAGCCCGAGUAAACGGCGGCCGUAACUAUAACGGUCCUAAGGUAGCGAAAUUCCUUGUCGGUUAAAUACCGACCUGCAUGAAUGGCGUAACGAGAUGGGAGCUGUCUCAAAGAGGGAUCCAGUGAAAUUGUAGUGGAGGUGAAAAUUCCUCCUACCCGCGGCAAGACGGAAAGACCCCGUGGACCUUUACUACAGCUUGACACUGCUACUUGGAUAAGA